rnacentral:rRNA from 1 species
UCAGCCGCCGCGGUAAUACGUAGGGGGCGAGCGUUGUCCGGAUUUAUUGGGCGUAAAGGGCGCGUAGGCGGCGCCCCGAGUCGUGCGUGAAAGGCCCUGGCUCAACUGGGGAGAGUCGUGCGAUACUGGGGCGCUCGAGGGCGGAAGAGGGAAGCGGAAUUCCCGGUGUAGUGGUGGAAUGCGUAGAUAUCGGGAGGAACACCAGUGGCGAAGGCGGCUUCCUGGUCCGUACCUGACGCUGAGGCGCGAAAGCGUGGGGAGCGAACUGGAUUAGAUACCCAGGUAGUCCACGCUGUAAACGAUGGGUGCUAGGUGCUGGGGGUAUCGACCCCCUCGGUGCCGGAGCUAACGCAUUAAGCACCCCGCCUGGGGAGUACGGCCGCAAGGCUAAAACUUAAAGGAAUUGGCGGGGGA